CGGGGUGUAGCGCAGUGGCUAGCGCGCCACGUUCGGGACGUGGAGGUCGGUGGUUCGAAUCCACUCACCCCGA
rnacentral:tRNA from 1 species